CUAAUACUCCCUCCGUCCGGAAAUACUUGUCAUCAAAAUGGAUAAAAGGGGAUGUAUCUAUAAUGACAAGUAUUUCCGGACGGAGGGAGUAUGUG
rnacentral:pre_miRNA from 1 species